rnacentral:rRNA from 1 species
AGAGCGAACGCUGGCGGCAGGCUUAACACAUGCAAGUCGAACGCACCUUUCGGGGUGAGUGGCAGACGGGUGAGUAACGCGUGGGAACGUACCCUUCGGUUUGGGAUAACUCAGGGAAACUUGAGCUAAUACCGGAUACGCCCUUCGGGGGAAAGAUUUAUUGCCGAGGGAUCGGCCCGCGUCUGAUUAGCUUGUUGGUGAGGUAACGGCUCACCAAGGCGACGAUCAGUAGCUGGUCUGAGAGGAUGAUCAGCCACACUGGGACUGAGACACGGCCCAGACUCCUACGGGAGGCAGCAGUGGGGAAUAUUGGACAAUGGGCGCAAGCCUGAUCCAGCCAUGCCGCGUGAGUGAAUGAAGGCCCGUAGGGUUAGUAAAGCUCUUUCGCACGCGACGAUAAUGACGGUAGCGUGAGAAGAAGCCCGCUAACUCGUGCCAGCAGUCGC